ACUCACAUGUUUAAUUAUCCUUCACUGAAGAUAAUGCUUCCAAAUAUGGCAGGUACCUUUUAUGAAGUCAAAGAGUGAAAAAGUAUGCACAAGUAGCUGCUCUGGAGUCCUGCAGUAUUUUCCCUCUGCAAAUCUAGGGUGAUUUCCUCAAAUCAAGGAGAAGCAAAUGGAUGAUUUUAUAUUAGGUAACCUCCAGCUGAAAAGAAAAAAAAAAAAAAAAAAAAAAGAAUAAACCCAUCUGUCAUGUCUCCUGUAGGACAUUUCUGGAAAUUGCUGUUUACCAGCAUCUUUGAUGACCUUUCUGAAAGUGGUCUCUUUUGAAAGAAGCUUAUCAGAAAGGAGAAGUGUGCAAUGACUGCUUUACCUGCUCUGUCUAAAAGGAAUGCUGCUGUAGAGACUGGACAUCUUGUGGCCUCUAAGGACAUUAUAAUCUCUCUGGUGGCCAAACAUUUGAAAAUCCUUCAUGUUUCAAGCAAAAGUGACUGCCAGUGCCUUCCUAAAGAUCUGAUUACACUAAGCAAUGGACUGCCAUAGUGGGGAACAUGCCAUAAAAGAAGACAAAGGAAAUGCAAAAGCUUUGGAUGGGCUGAAAGUGCAAACCUGGAGAAUACAUAUCAGAAUGGAAACCUGAGGGAUGUGUAUGCUAUCUGAUAUUUUGAUAGAUAAGACGAUAGCAUUUCAGUAGAAGAAAAUAAAGUUAAGCAUUAGAGAGAUAGGGAAAUAUAC
rnacentral:lncRNA from 1 species